UACGUAGGGCGCAAGCGUUAUCCGGAAUUAUUGGGCGUAAAGAGCGUGUAGGUGGCUCGGUAAGUCCGCUGUGAAAGUCCAGGGCUCAACCCUGGAAAGCCGGUGGAAACUGUCGAGCUCGAGUCCGGAAGAGGCGAGUGGAAUUCCUGGUGUAGCGGUGAAAUGCGCAGAUAUCAGGAGGAACACCAAUGGCGAAGGCAGCUCGCUGGGACGGUACUGACACUGAGACGCGAAAGCGUGGGGAGCAAACAGG
rnacentral:rRNA from 1 species